rnacentral:rRNA from 1 species
AGCAGCCGCGAUAAUUCCAGCUUCAAUAGCGUAUAUUAAAGUUGUUGUAGUUAAAAAGCUCGUAGUUGAAUUUCGGAAUCUGUCCAUCGGUCGGGCUUCACUGUCCGUACUGGUGUGGUGGGUUCUUACCUUCUGAAUAACCAGCAUGCCAUUAACUUGGUGCGUUGGGGAAGCAGGACUAUUACCUUGAAAAAUUAGAGUGCUCAAAGCAGGCUAGUGCCUGAAUACAUUAGCAUGGAAUAAUAAAAUAGGACGGCAUGGUUCUAUUUUGUGGUUUCUAGGAUCACCGUAAUGAUUAAUAGGGAUAGUUGGGGGCAUUAGUAUUCAAUUGUCAGAGGUGAAAUUCUUGGAUUUAUUGAAGACUAACUUCUGCGAAAGCAUUUGCCAAGGAUGUUUUCAUUAAUCAAGAACGAAAGUUAGGGGAUCGAAGACGAUCAGAUACCGUCGUAGUCUUAACCAUAAACUAUGCCGACUAGGGAUCGGACGAUGUUAAUUUUUAAUGACUCGUUCGGCGCCUUAA